rnacentral:rRNA from 1 species
AUGAGGAUCGGGCGCGCCCAGUCCACCAGGUUGCCCGCCCUCCCCGCCCGGCUCGGCUCCAGCGCGCGCUGCCCCACCAGCAUCUCCAGCAGCACAACGCCGAAGCCGUACACGUCGCUCAUCGCCGUGAGGUGCCCCGUCGCCAUGUACUCCGGCGCCGCGUAGCCGUAGGUGCCCAUCACCCGGGUGGACACGUGCGUCUUCCCGCCCACCGGCCCCUCCUUGGCCAGCCCGAAGUCUGACAGCUUCGCGCCGAAGUCGGCGUCGAGGAGGAUGUUGGAGGUUUUGAAGUCGCGGUAG